rnacentral:rRNA from 2 species
GGACUACUGGGGUAUCUAAUCCUGUUUGAUCCCCACACUUUCGUGCCUCAGCGUCAAUUUUAGUUUAGCCAGCUGCCUUCGCAAUCGGUGUUCUGUGUCAUAUCUAAGCAUUUCACCGCUACACGACACAUUCCGCCAACCUCAACUAAAUUCAAGACUAAUAGUAUCAAUGGCAGUUUCCGAGUUAAGCUCGGAGUUUUCACCACUGACUUAAAAGCCCGCCUACGCACCCUUUAAACCCAGUAAAUCCGGAUAACGCUUGCACCCUCCGUAUUACCGCGGCUGCUGGCAC